rnacentral:lncRNA from 1 species
CCCAAAGGGAGCUCCUCUUAUCACGGCCCCUCUCAGCUCUGCCGAGGACCUUCACUGGAGACUCUCAAGUCAUUCGUUUCUUCAGCCUGGUUCCUGAGGCUUCUCUUGGGGCCUCUGGCCAGGCACCAUUGCCUUCGGGGUCUCCGAGGAGGCCCCCCAUCCGGCUGAGGAGAGGACCCAAAGGACCCCCCCAUGGCUGGGGGAGGAGAAGGUGGGAACUGGGGGGCUAAGUGCCGAAAGCAUAAAGCAAGCCCUCUGGGUUAAAGAGAAAGUUCUCCGUUCAGUGUGGGGGACUUCUUGCUACUUUGCUGACUGGUGAGCAGGAAGCACAAAGGCUGGCGGCUGGGCUACUGUCUUUGAGGGAAGGACAAGGAGGAUGCUUGGGUUAUCCUGUCUGGGGAGGGGGGAAGGGAGCGUCCAUGGCACAGAAGGCCAAGAUCCGAAGAAGGAGUGAUCUUUUCCUAGUGGUGGCAGUCCUGGAAGGCUUCCAGAGGAGGUGGGCUUUUGAAGGAAGAGCAGGACUUCCCCUCCAGAAAGGAGAAACACAAGAAUCAGGCUGGAGAAAUGUUUGGUGUCGCGAGUGGGCAGGACCAUACCAGAGAAGAACUCUCGCCCAGUUGGGGACAGAGAUCGAGUCAGAGACUUCCACUGAAAGGGAGCUGAAUUUUCCUCCGGCUUAACUAGAUCAUCAUUUAACGGAUUCCCCUUGUCUCCUUCCUCCCCCUUCCUCUUCUUUGAUGUAUCACCAGGAUGCCUUGAAAAGUACAACAGGAAGAGGGGUCAGACUAGCCCUCUAUGGAGGCCAA